AUGUUAGUAGGUGGCACGAAAAGGGAGCGGCGACUGUUUAUUAAAAACACAGGGCUCUGCAAAAUAAAUAUAUGAAGUAUAGGGCCUGACACCUGCCCGGUGCUAGAAAGAUACAGUUAUGGGUUCAAAGGUUUUCAAAAACUAAUGUACUUAUACUUAAUAACUAGUAAACGGCGGCUGUAACUCUAACAGUCCUAAGGUAGCGAAAUUCAUUGUCAUUUAAUUGGUGUCCCGCACGAAUGGUGUAACGAUCGCUCUACUGUCUCCAACAUGGACUCAGUGAAAUUGAAUUCUCCGUGCAGAUGCGGAGUACUAACAGCUAGACGGUAAGACCCUGUGCACCUUUACUAUAGCUUUGCAUUGGAAAGACCUAUAAACUGUAUAGAAUAGGUGGUAGGUCAGUCAAACAAAGUUUCAAUGACCGUCAGUGGAAUACCACCCUGUUCAUGGGGCUCUCCUUACUUUUAAUUGUUUGUCAAUUGAACUGGAAAGUGCAUGGUGGGUAGUUUAUUUGGGGCGAAUUUCUCCUAAAAAGUAACGGAGAAGCGCAAAGGUAAGCUCAAAUUGGUCGGAAAUCAAUUGUAGAGCGUAAUGGUAUAAGCUUGCCUGACUGCAAGACCUACAAGUCGAGCAGGGACCUGAAGUCGGCCAUAGUGACCCGGGGGUUCUGUGUGGAAGGGCUCUCGCUUAACGGAUCAAAGGUACGCCAGGGAUAACAGACUAAUUACUCCCAAGAGUUCAUAUCGACGGGGUAGUUUGGCACCUCGAUGUCAGCUUGUCACAUCCUCGGGGUGAAGAAGCUCCGAAGGGUCGGGCUGUUCGCCCGUAAAAGUGGUACGUGAGCCGGGUUUAGUACGUCGUGAGACAGUACGGUUCCUAUCUACUGUUAGUGUUCUAAAACUGAAGGAAUAAGUUCGCCGUACGAGAGGAACCGAACUUAUCAACCCCUGGUGGUUGAGUUGUCGCGCCCGCGGCAUAGCUCAGUAGCUACGUUGAUUGAUUUUAACCGCUGAAAGCAUCUAAGCGGGAAAUUCAUCCUAAAACAAGUUUUGUAGAACGUGAAAGAUUAUCACGGAAUAGGCGGCAUGUGAAAUUGUAGCAAUAUAGUAAGCAAUGCCGUACUAAGUU
rnacentral:rRNA from 1 species